GAUGAAGAACGCAGCGAAAUGCGAUAAGUAGUGUGAAUUGCAGAAUUCAGUGAAUCAUCGAAUCUUUGAACGCACAUUGCGCCCUUUGGUAUUCCUUAGGGCAUGCCUGUUCGAGCGUCAUUUAAACCUUCAAGCUCAGCUUGGUGUUGGGUGACUGUCCGCUUCACCGCGGACUCGCCUCAAAAUUAUUGGCGGCCGGUACAUUGGCUUCGAGCGCAGCAGAAACGCGAACUCGGGCCCGUCGUAUUGGCUCCCAGAAGCUAUCUUCACAAUUUUGACCUCGGAUCAGGUAGGGAUACCCGCUGAACUUAAGCAUUUCAAUAAGCGGAGGA
rnacentral:misc_RNA from 1 species